GCCAGAAAAGGUGGCCUGGAGGCCCUCCACCUGGUGGCGAGCCUGCUGAACCUGGUCCUUCACGUGGGAGGGCAGCCCCUGGAUGCUGGACCCCAGCGAGGCACAGGUGUUCUGCAGCUGCUGGGCAAUGUCGCGGAACAUGGUAUCUACCCAAGAGAAAUGGAGACACGCGACCAUACACGGGCUGGGGCUGGUCACAGGACGUGAUCCACAGGAGGCAAAAGUGGAGACAACCCAGAAGCCCAUCAACUUGUAAACGGACGUUUUUCAGGUUUUUUUUAAAGAGGACGUCUGGAAGAACUUUCCAGGCAGGAGCUAUGUGGUGGGGGAGACGGAAGUGUACAUGCGUGCAUCGGGACCUUAACACCCCACCCCCACCACAGCGGGGGAAGAGAGCAGGCUGGGAGGCAGGACUUUGCCCUCCACCCGCCAUCAGAGCGCUGGCUCGGGACUUGAACCUGACAGGGAGGUGCCGACCAGAGUCAACACCCACAUCUCGAGGUUGCCACGUGGACACGUUGGCGCUGGGACACAGGAGAAGGGAAAUACGGCAGGGUUUAGAGUUCAGCAGGUUGAGAGGCGUCACAAGUGUCCUGCAGUUCAAAGCAACACCCACACCUAAAGGAGGAAAUCAAGGUGGGCUUCCUGGAAGAGGUGGCGUCACGUCCUAAAGGUGGUAAAUGGCUGGAGAGGCUGUGGAAAGCCUUCCAGGCAGGUAGGUCCAUCCGACAGAGGUGCGGAGAAGGAAGGAAGUCAGGGCCCUAAGGAUCCCACAGGCACCCCACGUUGGUACC